UACGUAGGGGGCUAGCGUUGUCCGGAAUCAUUGGGCGUAAAGAGCGUGUAGGCGGCCCGGUAAGUCCGCUGUGAAAGUCGGGGGCUCAACCCUCGAAUGCCGGUGGAUACUGUCGGGCUAGAGUGCGGAAGAGGCGAGUGGAAUUCCUGGUGUAGCGGUGAAAUUCGUAGAUAUCGGGAGGAACACCAGUGACGAAGGCGGCGAUCUGGGUUGAUACUGACGCUGAGGUGCGAAAGCGUGGGGAGCAAACAGG
rnacentral:rRNA from 1 species